rnacentral:rRNA from 1 species
GAUGAACGCUGGCGGCGUGCCUAACACAUGCAAGUCGAACGAAGCACCUUACCUGAUUCUUCGGAUGAAAGUUUGGUGACUGAGUGGCGGACGGGUGAGUAACGCGUGGGUAACCUGCCCUGUACAGGGGGAUAACAGCUGGAAACGGCUGCUAAUACCGCAUAAGCGCACGAGGAGACAUCUCCUUGUGUGAAAAACUCCGGUGGUACAGGAUGGGCCCGCGUCUGAUUAGCUGGUUGGCAGGGUAACGGCCUACCAAGGCAACGAUCAGUAGCCGGUCUGAGAGGAUGAACGGCCACAUUGGAACUGAGACACGGUCCAAACUCCUACGGGAGGCAGCAGUGGGGAAUAUUGCACAAUGGGGGAAACCCUGAUGCAGCAACGCCGCGUGAGUGAAGAAGUAUUUCGGUAUGUAAAGCUCUAUCAGCAGGGAAGAUAAUGGCGGUACCUGACUAAGAAGCUCCGGCUAAAUACGUG